rfam:Harpegnathos saltator strain R22 G/1 HarSal_1.0_3.contig5409, whole genome shotgun sequence.
CAAACGGCCCUUUUCAGGGCCAAAAUUAUUCUUACGAGGAACAUUU